ensembl:lncRNA
CCGGGGGUGGCCCGUGGGACCCAGACCAUCAUCUCCACCUCCAUCACUGGACACCUGUCCACGAAAUGCUCCGGGUCCCCGCAACGCCAACAGGCCAGCCCAGACCUACCCUACUGCGGGUAUACUUCUAUACUGCGACUAUACUUUCUACUGUACUUCUAUACUGUGGGUAAACUUUCUUCUAUACUUUUAUACUGCGGGUAUACUUUCUACUGUACGUCUAUACUGCGGGUAUACUUUCUUCUGUACUUCUAUACUGUGGGUAAUUUUCUAUACUUCUAUACUGCGGGUAUACUUUAUACGGUACUUGUAUACUGCGGGUAUACUUUCUACUGUACUAUACUGCGGGUAUACUUUCUACUGUAUUUCUGUACUGCGGGUAUACUUUCUUCUAUACUGCGGGUAUACUUUCUACUGUACUUCUAUACUGUGGGUAAACUUUCUGUUAUACUUCUAUACUGCGGGUAUACUUUCUACUGUAUUUCUAUACUGCGGGUAUACUUCUAUACUUCUAUAUUGCAGGUUUACUUUCUACUGUACUUCUAUACUGCGGGGGUGUACUUCUAUACUGUGGGUAUACUUUCUUCUGUACUGCGGGUAUACUUUCUACUGUACUUCUAUACUGUGGGUAAUAUUCUAUACUUUUAUACUGCGGGUAUACUUCUAUACUGCAGGUAUACUUUCUACUGUACUCCUGUACUGCGGGGGUAUACUUCUAUACUUCUAUAUUGCGGGUAUACUUUUUUCUGUACUUCUGUACUGCGGGUAUACUUCUAUAAUUCUAUACUGCGGGUAUACUUCCUACUGUACUUCUAUAAUGUGGGUAAACUUUCUUCUAUAAUUCUAUACUGCGGGUAUACUUCCUACUUUACUUCUAUAAUGUGGGUAAACUUUCUUCUGUACUUCUAUAAUGCUGGUAAUUUUAAAAUUCUCAUGCCCACUUAUAAGGCCUUGAACUGUACUAUAAUGCGGGUAUACGUUCUACUGUACUUUUACACUGUGGGUAUACUUUCUUCUGUACUUCUAUACUGCGGGUAUACUUUGUACUGUACUUCUGUACUGCGGGUAUACUUUCUACCAUACUAUGCUGCUGGUAUACUUGCUUCUGUACUUCUGUACUGCGGGUAUACUUUCUACUGUACUUCUAUACUGCGGGUAUACUUUCUUUACUUCUAUACUGUGGGUAAUUUUCUAUAUUUUUAUACUGCGGGUAUACUUCUAUACUGCGGGUAUACUUUCUACUGUACUUCUGUUCUGUGGGUAUACUUUCUACUGUAUUUCUGUACUGCGGGUAUACUUUCUUCUAUACUUCUGUACUGCGGGUAUACUUUCUACUGUACUUCUAUUCUGCAGGUAUACUUUCUUCUAUACUUCUAUACUGCGGGUAUACUUUCUACUGUACUUCUAUACUGCGGGUAUACUUUCUACUGUACUUAUGUACUGCGGGUAUACUUUCUACUGUACUAUACUGCGGGUAUACUUUCUACUGUACUUCUAUACUUUGGUUAUGCUUUCUACUGUACUUCUGUACUGUGGGUAUACUUUCUUCUAUACUUCUGUACUGUGGGUAUACUUUCUACUGUACUUCUAUUCUGCGGGUAUACUUUCUUCUAUACUUCUAUACUGCGGGUAAUUUUAAAAUUCUCAUUCUCAUGCUCACUUAUAAGGCCUUGCUCACUUAUAAGGCCUUGA